AGACCAUGGUGAGGACAUCUUCUUUGAAAAUUCUUAAAUUUCUCUCAAGUUUUAUAUAACGACUCGCCUUCAUUUUGAGUAAAUCCUGUAAUAUCCAUGCGAAAUUU